GAGACAGCAGUAGCCGCGGUAAUACGGAGGAUCCAAGCGUUAUCCGGAAUCAUUGGGUUUAAAGGGUCCGUAGGCGGUCUUGUAAGUCAGUGGUGAAAGCCCAUCGCUCAACGGUGGAACGGCCAUUGAUACUGCAGGACUUGAAUUAUUGGGAAGUAACUAGAAUAUGUAGUGUAGCGGUGAAAUGCUUAGAGAUUACAUGGAAUACCAAUUGCGAAGGCAGGUUACUACCAAUUGAUUGACGCUGAUGGACGAAAGCGUGGGUAGCGAACAGGAUUAGAUACCCCGGUAGUCCCUGUCUCUUAUAA
rnacentral:rRNA from 1 species